rnacentral:lncRNA from 1 species
UUUUUUUUUUUUUUUUUUUUUUUUUCUGUUCAUAGGAUGUGUCUGAACCCCUCCUGCCUGCUGGCUUUUUGAAAAUUUAUUUCAGGUCCUGGCUGAGAUGACAUUCGAUGAACAUAUUCACACAAUGAACACAUUUCCUAAAAGGAUGAUCACUACAAUCAAGCUAGUGGAUUUAUCCAUCAGCUCAUGCUGUUACCUUUUUUUGCAGAGGGGGUAAGAACACUUAAGAUCUUCUCUAUAGGAGUUCCUGCUGUGGCGCAGUGGAAAUGAAUCUGACUAGGAACCAUGAGGACGUGGGUUUGAUCCCUGGCCUCGAUCAGUGGGUUAAGGAUAUGGCGUUGCCUUGAGCUGUGGUGUAGGUCGCAGAUGUGAGCAGGUUGAUCUGAAUAUAGCAAAGAAAGUGCUGCCUUACCAAAAGAUUGGCAGGAACAGGAUGGAUUGUGACAGGGCUUGAGAUUUAGGCACAAUGGUAAACUGAAAAAAAAAAAAAAUCUACUGAAAUGAAAAAUUGUGAUUUUAGAGGCAGAAAGCCUGAGGGUUUUUUUUUUUUCCCCCUACUUUUGUUACACAUUCCAUUUCUAAGUCCUGGGCAUCAGCUUCCUUAUUUGCAAAAUGAGGGAAUUUGUACUGAGUGCAGAUGGCCAAGUGUAAAGAUUCUUGAAAGUGGGAAAAAAAUAUGACUGUGCCCUUCUUCAAACAUUUACUGAGUGCCUGCUUUGAGAUGGGAACUGACCUAAGUAUUUCUUUAGAGAGAUGAUAAGACAUUCUCUCAUGCUCCAAGGGUUGCUAGGUAGGAGAAAGGAGUAAUUGAACAAAAAUUCUCCAACAACUGGGUAGAUGUUGGAAAGGUAAUAGUGAAUAGUUGAACAGAGAGUAAGCGUGGUAAAAUAUUGCAGCAUUUCAGGAAGAAUUCCAUGGCAAUUCUUGGCAAAAUGAAUUAAAGAGGAUGGAUGCCUAAUGCUAGUGAAGAGUUUAUAGCUCCAGUUUACUGAUCCUAGGUCUAGGGUCAGACUAUUGGAGUGAAGCGCUGAAGUGGACUGGAGGAGACAUUUGGUGUUCAAAAUGUCAAGAUUCUAAAAGACGGAAUAUUUAGUGAGUCAUUUGCAUAUACCGUAAUGGCGGCAGGAUUACUCCUUGUUUAUAAAGAUGUCCUAUAUGGAAAUAGGUCCUUGAUAAUUGAGGGGGGUUGACUUCAAUCCUUGGUGAGUUAUUAUAGCCUGGAGGAUAGAUUUCCAAGAAGCAGCAAAUGUUCAUUACCUGUAGCAUGUUUUAUCUGGGCUUCUCAAACUUUAAUGUGCAUAAAAGUCACCUGGGGUCUUGUUAUGCUGAUUCAAUAAUUCCUGGGUGGGACCUGGGAUUCUGUGUUUUAAAAAAUCCUCUGGUUGGUUGCACUUGAGUAACAGGUGUGAUAUUUUUCACUGAUAGCUUCAACCUAAAUAAGUUACUCUCCUCAAAUCCCAUGUCUGUGGCCAAAAUUUGGAAAAUAGAGGAAAAACACUUUGUCUCUUAUUCUACAACUCAGUUAUCAUAAUUUCGUGAGUCAUAAUUUCUUCUUAAAGUUGUCUUAUACCAUAUUAAUAGAUUUUAUUUUCUAAUUUUUACCUAACAUAGGAGUUUACAUCAUAAAAUUUUCCAUGUUAUCACUUAAACAGUUUAAUUAGGUGUUUAAUAUUCUACUAGGUAUCAUAGUCAAUCAUUAAGCUAUUAAUUUAAACCUAUAUUAUAUCAACUUUCGCCUAUUGGUGAAAUAAUGGCAGCCUAUGAAUAUCUGUGUGUAUUUUAAGUAUAUAUGAAAUUUCUUUACUGUAGAAUAAAUUCCCAGAAAUGGGAAACUGGUAAAAGUUAUUAUUGUUAUUCUUAGUUCUUAUUGCCAAAUUAGAUUACUUGGCCAUUUCAUUCUUCUACCUGCAAUAAUAAUAAGGUUAUUUAUUGGGCUCUUUAACCUUUUAAGUGUUUGCUAAUUUAAUGAGUGACAAUUUAUAACCUUCUUUAUUUUAAUUCGCUAUGACUCUUUGAUUACUAACCAAGGUAGGUGGUUUUACACUGACAAGUGUAGUAAAAUUACAGUUUCAUCAGCUGUGGCAUCAGACCACUUGAGUUCAAAUCCUGACUGCCAAAUACUAGAUGGUAUUUUUGAGGAAGUUACUUAACUUCUCUGUGGUUUUCUUCCUGCUUUGCAAAAUCUAAGUAUAUAUGAUGGUAUUUUUGAGGAAGUUGCUUAACUUCUCUGUGGUUUUCUUCCUGCUUUGCAAAAUCUAAGUAUAUAUGGCAUCUAUGUCAUGUGGAUCUUCCAAGUGUUACAUCAGAUAACAUUUGAAAAGACCCUAGGAUAGUGUUUAGCACAUAUGGAGAGUCAAUAAUUAUUAGUAGUUAUGUUUUCCAUUGUGAAUGGUCUAUUUGUGCUUUUUGCUUGUGUGCAUUUGUUACUGAAAAUGUUCACACUAAUUAAUAAUUAGAAGUCAAGGGUGGAAGCAGUUAUUUAGAUUUGUACUGUCUAUAUUGUAAUUAGUCACAUGGGACAAUUUAAUUAAUUAAGUUUAAAUAGAAUAAAAAUUAAGUUCUUUGGCCAUUUUAACUACUUACCAAGUGGCACUAGUCCCACACGUCUAGUGACUUUCGUAUUGGGCAGUGCAGGUGUAAGGAGCAUUUUCUUCAUCACUGAAUGUUUUAUGGACAGUGCUGAUAUGGAUUAUUCUUAUCAUGGAGAUUAAAUUGUCUUUUGAACAGUGACUAAUCCAGUCUUUUACCGACAUUCCCACUUCACUUUGCUACUGGAGUUCAGGCAUAAAUUUAUUGUUCUGUUAUUUGAGAUUUUCAGAUGUAUUUCUUUAAUUACUUAAAGCAACUCUGGUAAUGACACAACAAAGGCAUCCGAAACAGGUGUCAGGAAGGGGAGUUUAUUUUAUAUUUGGGUAAAUAGAAUCAAGGAAAAGUGAAGUGCUGGAAAUGCUUUAUAAUUUUUCUUGGGAUAGUAAUGGAAAGAAAAUAAUCAGAUAACUUUUCAUUUAUUAUUUUUCCAAUAGUAGGCCAGAUGGAAGAUGCUUAGUUUCUUGAAAUAUUUAAAAUUAUUUUGUUUUUCUGUUAUUGGUACAUUAUUUAUAAUUGUCAAUAGUGGUUUGUUACAUAUAGUUAACCCAUAACCAACUUUACUGGGCAGCAAUAAAAUUGAUAUUGAUGGUUAUAAUCUAACAGGUUACUAAUAGGUUAUUCUCCUUUUUUACAGUAACAUUACUUGCCAAAGCACUUGAGGUAAUAGACAAAAUAAUAAUACAUAAAUUUUCAUAUACAUUGUACAUUGAAUAAAAUUAACUUUAAAAUAGUGAAAAUAAAAAAGAAUACUUAAAAUUUUUUGGUCUUCUAAGGUGUUGAUUCUUUCUAGAAUUCUUGGUAUCAAAGAAUGGCUCAUUUAUCACUCAAGGACAUUUACAUAAAUUUGAAAUGAAGUCUUGACAUCUAAAAGUGAUUUCAUGGAUCGUAUAGCUUCUAUAUUAUUAGAUAUAUAAUAUCUAUCUAUAUAUAUAUCUUAGGAAAAAAAUAGAAUGCCAGUAGUAAAACUGAAAUGCUAUAGGGAUUCAAAAAAGGCAGUUAACCAAGUCCUUUGAAGGGAAUCAAAAAGUGAUACAUGGGAGUUCCUGCUGUGGUGCAGUGGGUUAAGGACCUGGUGUUGCUGCAGUUGUGGCAUAGGUCUCAGCUGUGGCUCAGAUUCAGUCCCUGGCCCAGGAACUUCCAUAUGCCAAGAGUGUGACCCCAAAAAAAGUGAUAUAUGGACAACUUAACAUUAGUAAUGGACCUUAAAGGAUGGAGAGCACUUUCUUACAAAAUUUAAGAAUGUUCUUAUAAACUCAUAAAUGUUCAUGUAUUUGGUGUUGCAACCCAUUUCAGGUGUUAUCCUUUUUUUUUGACUGUCUGGAGCCCUAAUUGUGGCCUGUGGAGACCCUUCACUGGCUCCCUUCAUUACUCAAUUAUUCUUUCAUGGCUUCCUUGCCUUUUUAGGGCCACACCUGCAGCAUGUGAGGUUCCCAGGCUAGGGGUGGAACUGGAGCUGCAGCUACUGGCCUACGCCACAGCCACAGCAACGUGGGGUCUGAGCUGUGUCUGCGACCUACAUCCCAGCUCAUGGCAAUGCCAGAUCCUUACCCAGCUGAGCGAGGCCAGGGAUCCUCAUGGAUCCUAAUUGGGUGGGUUAACCUCUGAGCCAUGAAGGGAACUCCAUGGCUUCCUUACUUUCUUAACAAAACAACUUGGCAUACCUUAAAUAUGUCCUGCCUUAGCCUUGAAAUCAUAACAGGCAACAUUUAAAAAAGAGUCUGAGAUACUGAGAAAAAGUUUUGGAAGGCAGAAUAAAAGACAUGAGCAAAGCCCCUUAUAAAUGUUGAGGGAGACGUUGAGUCGGGAAAUGCUUCUGUGGGCCUCCCGAAGAAGUGGAGAGUGAGUAUACCGAAGAUGGCCGGGUUGUGGGGAAUUGGUUCUAAAAACUGUAGGCAAUGAUGAAUCGUCUCAUCAUUAUCAUUUAACAUUUUUAAACAGAUGGAUGACUUGAUUGCAAUUGAAUUUUAAAAAGGCAGAUUUAAAAAUGGUAUGUUUGAUGAGAAGAAACUGCAAAGAAAUUAAUUACAAGCUGUUAAAAUUAAUGUGAUGAAAGCUUAUGACAACUGUAGCAGGACUGGGCAAUAUUGAAUAGAUGGCCAGGGAUGGUCUAGAAAUAAAAUCCACAGUACUCAGGUACCGAUUGAAUACAGGAGCUCAGCAAAAAUUAGGAGUCAAAAGUGUUAAUGACCUUUGGAGUCUGGGAAUAUAGUCUUUCAACGUGUAUGGUAAGGUCAGGAGAAACAGUUGGACUUGUGAGAACCCUAACAUUUGGGACACAUCAAGGUAGACAGGUAUCUAAAUAUAAAUGUCCAGAGGACAACUGGAAACUUAAGUCCGAAGCCACAGAGGCUCAGGUCACUGCUGUGGCAUGAGUUCAAUCCCUGGCCCAGGAACUUCCACAUGCUGCCAAGGGCAGCAAAAACAAAACAAAACAAAGGAAAAAACCCCAAAAAAGCUAAGGAAGGAAAAGAGAGAUGUGACAGUUUUUGAUAUUGAGUUGGCAAUCCACCCAUAGAAGGGAUAUUGAUUGAAGAGAUUGUACAGAGAGAGAACAAGAUGGCUUGUUGAUCUUGUAUAGGUCUUAUCGUUUAAGGAGAAGGAAGACUAUAAGGAUUUGUUGAAGGGGACUGAGAGAGAGGCUGCCUAGAGUUCGGAGCAUGAAGGUUGGUAGUAUGUGGACUAAGAAAUGAGACGUUCUCAAGGAGGAGACAGCACUCAACUGAACUAUUAGAUGGAAGAAUCGGGAAAAGGCAUUUUGUUUUGCAGUUGUGUGGUCAAUGAAGGGUACACAACAUAAGUGGGAUUUCUCAAACAUGAGGAAUACCAGGAAUGGGUGUUCCUUGGAUUAAGAGACUGAAGUCUGGAAAUCCUUGUAGCCAAAUAGGACCUCCCAGAUGCAUCGUGGAGGGUUUAUCAUGGGAGGGUUGGGAACUAGGUAUGUGCAGCCACCAAAGGCUAGAUUCAAGAUAUCAACAGAUGAUCAAGAGCUAUAGACAGGGAACACAUGGGCAGGGUCCCAGGGCAAGGAGUGGAUCGGCUAAUAAAUAUCAAGAGCUGAGACAUAUUGUUGCCAGGUAACGUGACAGGAAAUUCUUUAGUUGUCUUUUAAUGCCACUUCUCAAUAGGAGCUUGUGGCUCUUAAGCACUGUCCUAGAAGUGGUGGUGGGGACGUCUGCAAUAAAUAAGCUCAUGAGACAAUCUGGAAUUAGCAGAGCUGAGUACUUUUGCAAGAAAUUUUUAGUGACAGGAAGAGAAAGUAGCUUCAGGAUGAAAUAGGAUCAAGAGAAGAGUUUUUAUGAGGUUACAGGAGAGUCGAACAUGUUUAUAGGCAGAAGGAAAGGAUUCUGAAAAACGAGGUGGGGAAUGAUACAAAGAUGGAAGCAAGAGGAAAUAAUUUUGGAAA